CAAAGUUCAAGGUUCAUUGAGAUACUAACACAGGUAAUUGUUGUUGAGUUAGAAAGAAACAAAAGAUGUACAUUGUCGUCAUGUAUAUCUAAACCAUUACACACUGGUAUCAGGUCUAUCAAUAUUCUUAAACUUGAAAAACGGUUUAUCUAGACUCCAGCCAAAACACAUACGUCCUUGACCUGAGUGGCAUCUGCUAUAGAGGUCGGAUUUAGAUUUCAGGAAAAGGUCUGCAUCUCAAUUAUUUUACAGUGAAAG
rnacentral:lncRNA from 1 species